AUUGGAAGAAGCCUUAUUCUCGCAGCAGCAUCCCUUAAACUGCGCCCGGGGACCUAUUUUAGUUCACCCUUUCUCCUGUGGCGCGCGGCGCGCCUAUAAAUUCUCCAAAUUCUUUAUCCGCUGUGUCCUUCUCGUUUCACCCCAUUUCUCUCUCUCUCUCGCUCCCUCCUAAUCCUUACGGCGGAGGAGGAGCCUUCGCCUCGCCCUCCCAUCGAGAUCCGCCCGCCAUAAAGGUUUCCGUUCCGAUCCGACCCGAUCAUGGAGAGGGAGAGAACACGGGCCCGGUGGAGGCGGGCACUGGCGGCAGUGAUGGCGCCCCGACCGGCGGAGGCCGAGGAGGACGUGGCGGCUGACGAGGAGUUGGAGGAGCCGAUGGGGUCGUCGCGCGGCAGCCUCAUCGCGCUCCUGGCGUCCGACCUCCGGCUCGGCAUCGCCUGCAGGCCCAGCGGCGAGAAGUUCCUCGAUCGCUUCGUCAUCCUCCCUGAUAACUGGUGGUACCAGUUAUGGACGCAGUUCAUAUUGUUGUGGGCGGUGUACUCGUCCUUCUUCACGCCGAUGGAGUUCGGUUUCUUCCUUGGGCUUCCGAAGAACCUAUUCCUUCUCGACGUCGCUGGACAGGUCGCCUUCCUCGUCGACAUCUUCGUCCAAUUCCUCCUCGCCUACCGGGAUCCCCACACGUACCGCAUGGUACGCAACCCCACGGCCAUUGCCUUGCGGUACAUGAAAUCGAACUUUGUUUUUGAUUUGCUCGGCUGCCUUCCUUGGGAUUAUAUUUAUAAGGCUUCAGGAAAUAAAGAAGAAAUAAGAUACCUACUGUGGAUUCGAUUAACUCGGGUUCGCAAAGUCACAGCUUUUUUUCAGAAGAUGGAGAAGGAUAUUCGCAUCAAUUACUUGUUCACAAGAAUUGUUAAACUUAUAGUUGUGGAACUCUAUUGCACACAUACAGCUGCCUGCAUUUUUUAUUACCUAGCAACCACUCUGCCUGAAUCUAUGGAAAGUUAUACGUGGAUAGGAAGCUUAAAGCUGGGUGAUUACAACUAUAACCAUUUCAGAAAGAUUGAUCUUUGGAGGCGCUACAUAACAUCAUUAUAUUUUGCCAUAGUAACCAUGGCAACUGUUGGUUAUGGAGACAUACAUGCAGUCAAUCCCAGAGAAAUGGUAUUUAUUAUGAUCUAUGUCUCUUUUGAUAUGAUUCUGGGAGCUUAUCUUAUUGGUAAUAUGACUGCACUGAUUGUGAAAGGAUCAAAAACAGAAAGGUUUAGAGACAAAAUGAAAGAUCUUAUACGAUACAUGAACAGAAACAGAUUAGGGAAGGACAUACGUGACCAGAUUAAAGGACAUGUGCGCUUGCAGUAUGAAAGCAGCUAUACUGAAGCUUCAGUUCUCCAAGAUAUUCCAGCUUCAAUUCGUGCGAAGAUUUCUCAAACUUUAUACAGACCGUGCAUUGAAAAUGUUCCACUCUUAAAGGGAUGCUCAUCAGAAUUCAUAAAUCAGAUUGUAAUCAGGCUGCAGGAAGAGUUUUUCCUUCCAGGUGAACUGAUUCUGGAACAGGGCAAUGCAGUUGACCAGCUAUAUUUUGUUUGCCAUGGUGUUCUGGAAGGAAUAGCGGUUGGUGAAGAUGGAUCAGAAGAGACUGUUACGCAAUUAGAGCCCAGCAGCUCAUUUGGAGAAAUUGCCAUUCUUUGCAACAUUCCUCAGCCUUAUACAGUUCGUGUCUGUGAACUCUGUAGACUCUUACGUCUUGAUAAGCAACUUUUCACAAAUAUUCUGGAGGUGUAUUUUGUGGAUGGUAGGACAAUAUUGAGUAACCUUCUUGAGGGAAACGAAUCUACUUUGCGUAUCAAACAACUGGAAUCCGAUAUCACAUCUCAUAUCGGAAAGCAAGAAGCCGAACUUGCUUUAAAGGUUAAUAGUGCUGCUUACUAUGGAGAUCUGCGUCAUCUAAAAGGUCUGAUAAGAGCGGGAGCUGAUCCGAAGAAGACAGACUAUGAUGGGCGUUCACCUUUGCAUCUUGCAGCUUCAGGAGGGUUUGAAGACAUCACAAUAUUCCUCAUUAGAGAAGGCGUAGAUAUCAACCUUUCUGAUAACUUCGGAAACACGCCACUGUUAGAAGCUGUGAAGCAUGGUCAUGACCGGGUGGCUUCUUUACUCCAUAGUAAAGGGGCCAAACUACAUCUUAAAGAUGCUGGCAGCCAACUUUGUGCAGCUGUUGCAAGAGGAGACUCAGAUUUUAUUAGAAGGAUUUUGAACUAUGGAGUAGAUCCAAACUCAAGCGAUUAUGAUCAUCGUACACCACUCCACAUAGCUGCUGCUGAUGGAUUAUAUUCUAUUGCAAAAAUACUUUUAGAAGCUGGGGCAAGUGUUUUUGCUAUUGACAGGUGGGGAAGUACUCCAUUAGAUGAAGCAGUAAAAUGUGGAAGCAAAUCGUUGAUGAUGAUGCUGGAAGAUGCAAAGCUUGAAGAGCUCUCCAAGUUUCCUGAUCGUGGUACACAAACUCAAGACAAAACCCAACCCCGGAGGAGAUGCACGGUGUUCCCUUUCCACCCAUGGGACCCAAAAGAAAAGAGAAAGGAGGGAGUAGUGCUGUGGGUACCUCUCACCAUGGAAGAACUCAUCGAGUCCUCGCAAGAGCUGCUAAACUGCUCAGGCUCACGAAUUCUAUCAGAGGAGGGAGGGAGGAUAUCUGAUGUAGCCAUGAUAUGUGACAACCAGAAGCUGUACCUUGUUGCAGAUUAAGACACUGCUACGAAGAAUAACCAGCUCAGUUGCCCUACAUUAUUAACACAGAGGUACGCAGUGGUGACAGGAAUUAAAGACAGUAUCAACUUGUUCGAUUCAAGGCAUUGGAAAACAACAUAAAAUAGACAGGAACUGUGAAGAACAUAUUGAACCGUAAGGUUGAUGUUAUAACGGUGGCUGAAAGUGAGAGAAAGCGUGGACUCUGAGGUGGAUGGAAACAUACCUGUAAAGUACGUACGUAGGGAUAGCAGCGGAGUGCUUCUUUUUGGGUAUUCGCACCUACCUACGAGUCCAUUUAUUGUUCUCAUUAAUCUAUGUUUUCAAUGAAUAUGUCGAGUAAAAUAAACAUUCAAAUCGGGUGGGUUUAGAAUUGGUUCACAAACUCAAGUAGUGUUCGAGUUCUGAAAAAAAGGAUAUGAUGAAACUAACGAGUUCUUUAUUGGUCGUCAAUCCUAAUUACAUGAUGCAAAUAUAUUCUUCAAAAUU